GCUCUCUCUCUCUCUCUCUCUUGUAAGUAUCAAGCAAGCCUAUUGAACUUUGGUCUUUCCCCUGUGCGGAGAAAGAUUACAAUAUUGAGCUAAAUCUGAUUGCAAGUGAGGUUCAAGGAUUCUAUGUCCAGAAGGUUUUUAUUUUUAUUUCUAAAAAAUUAAAAUAAGAAAGAGUGAAGAUUGAAUAGUGAUACAUCAUUCCAG
rnacentral:misc_RNA from 1 species